CUCCAUACCAUUUUCCAACUGUACUAGAACGGCCCCAAGACCAAUAAGGAAGGCAUCAGUCAACAAAACAAAACAAGAGAAGCUUCCUCUGAUAGAUGUGGUAUAAAAUAAACAUAGUAUUGUACAAGUCCCAAGAACGAUUUCACCUCAGUACACGAUGCAGGAACAGGAAAGUCCAUAACCGGUCAAAUCAACUCUGGAUCCAGGGAUCGGCCACUUUGGGAUAUGCGAAACCAUAAAUAAGUUAACUCCUCACCCAUCAGGAUACACUUGCCGGGCUUCAGACGACCUCCAGCAUUCGAGAUUCGACUGAACACUUCAUUUAAAAUACGAAAGUGUUCCUCCUAACUUCUUGAGAAUAUGAGGACAUCGUCUAUGUAAAUCUUGACACCCCGAAUACCACUCAAUAUCCUCUCUUGAGCUGCCUCCACAAUAGCAGGAGCUGAGGCCAGAUCAUAUGGUAAGACGUUAUAUCUAUAAAGUCCUAACUGUGUAUUUAUAACCAAAAACUCUUGAUUUUUCUUCCAAUUAAUAUUGUUCACAACACCUCGAGAAAUCCAAUUUGGAGAAGAAGUCGGCACAAACCCGAACACUUCCAUCUGGUUUGAGGACUGAAACGAUUAGAGAGGCCAAUUCUGACGAAUCAAUCUUGGAAAUGGUACCACGCUUCUCCAUCUCUCGGAUCUCCACAGCGACCUUCUCACGGAGUGCGAGUGGCACUGAACGUGCUCUGAUGUAACGGGGACGAGCAUUAUCAUGCAGGUGGAUCACUGCUUGUAAUUUCCACACGGGAUUCUGUAGAUGUGCCAGCCGUACAUGCGUUGGUGGACUUGCUCAGCUUCACCAACCCGAAAUCUAUGUAAUCAGGAAAAUUGGCUGCCCAAUAGGAGAUACAAUAAACUUACGAAGCAACAGGGUCAGAACCAACAAUGCAGCCAACAACCUGAUAGAGCUCAGAGUCUUGACCUUUCCCCCCAUCAAAAACCUCUAUUGGACCCGUCUUCUUGAUCACCUUUGACAUAUCAACCAGAUGUUUCGGAAGGCACAGGCCAUAUCCCCUACUCAUUCAGCUGGAAAGAGAUGGAUGAACUAGACGGUGCUGAUGAUGGACAGCAUACUCUAAAAUGGCCCAUCCUCCCACACCGGGAACACUCCUUGCCAAUCGCAGGGCAUUUUGACUUUUGGAAGACAUGGCUUCUUCCACAAAACUUGCAGUUCCCUAUGUCCAUCUUUGGAUUAGCCUUUUGCGUCGACCACGUCCCUUUGGAGCGACGGAGACCUUUUGACCCCUUAUACUCGGAUGCCAUUACAGUUUCACUCGAUCCCAUUUCUUUGGCGUGGCUGAUGGAUGUUUCCAAUGCUCUGGCUAAUGGCAACACGUCUGUCAAUUUUGUGCUGCCUCUCUCGAAGACAGUUUGGCGGAGCCGUGGGGACGACGUUUUCUUAACCGCCACGUCGAGAAUAAUUUCGUCUUCGAACGAAACUUUGCAGCUCCCACGCGCAAAGCGACGAAACUUUGCCUGGCCACGCAACCGAGUGACGUAAUCAUCUACAGGCUCCCUGUUUCAUCUCAGAGAGCCGGAAGCGUUCAAACAACAGACUUUCCGUUGGGGAGAAAGCAUCCCGAAUUGCCCUUACCGUCGAGGUGAAGACGUCCUCCUCAGGCAAUGCAACAAUCUGUAUAGUGUUGAACCAUUGUUGGACCUCUGUCCCAGCACAGUGAAGCAGGAGAUACUUUUUACGUUCCGGGGACAAUUCUCCAAACAAGGA
rnacentral:lncRNA from 1 species